GGUUAAGCGACUAAGCGUACACGGUGGAUGCCCUGGCAGUCAGAGGCGAUGAAGGACGUGCUAAUCUGCGAUAAGCGUCGGUAAGGUGAUAUGAACCGUUAUAACCGGCGAUUUCCGAAUGGGGAAACCCAGUGUGUUUCGACACACUAUCAUUAACUGAAUCCAUAGGUUAAUGAGGCGAACCGGGGGAACUGAAACAUCUAAGUACCCCGAGGAAAAGAAAUCAACCGAGAUUCCCCCAGUAGCGGCGAGCGAACGGGGAGCAGCCCAGAGCCUGAAUCAGUGUGUGUGUUAGUGGAAGCGUCUGGAAAGGCGCGCGAUACAGGGUGACAGCCCCGUACACAAAAAUGCACAUACUGUGAGCUCGAUGAGUAGGGCGGGACACGUGGUAUCCUGUCUGAAUAUGGGGGGACCAUCCUCCAAGGCUAAAUACUCCUGACUGACCGAUAGUGAACCAGUACCGUGAGGGAAAGGCGAAAAGAACCCCGGCGAGGGGAGUGAAAAAGAACCUGAAACCGUGUACGUACAAGCAGUGGGAGCCUCUUAAUGGGGUGACUGCGUACCUUUUGUAUAAUGGGUCAGCGACUUAUAUUCUGUAGCAAGGUUAACCGAAUAGGGGAGCCGAAGGGAAACCGAGUCUUAACUGGGCGUUAAGUUGCAGGGUAUAGACCCGAAACCCGGUGAUCUAGCCAUGGGCAGGUUGAAGGUUGGGUAACACUAACUGGAGGACCGAACCGACUAAUGUUGAAAAAUUAGCGGAUGACUUGUGGCUGGGGGUGAAAGGCCAAUCAAACCGGGAGAUAGCUGGUUCUCCCCGAAAGCUAUUUAGGUAGCGCCUCGUGAAUUCAUCUCCGGGGGUAGAGCACUGUUUCGGCAAGGGGGUCAUCCCGACUUACCAACCCGAUGCAAACUGCGAAUACCGGAGAAUGUUAUCACGGGAGACACACGGCGGGUGCUAACGUCCGUCGUGAAGAGGGAAACAACCCAGACCGCCAGCUAAGGUCCCAAAGUCAUGGUUAAGUGGGAAACGAUGUGGGAAGGCCCAGACAGCCAGGAUGUUGGCUUAGAAGCAGCCAUCAUUUAAAGAAAGCGUAAUAGCUCACUGGUCGAGUCGGCCUGCGCGGAAGAUGUAACGGGGCUAAACCAUGCACCGAAGCUGCGGCAGCGACACUAUGUGUUGUUGGGUAGGGGAGCGUUCUGUAAGCCUGUGAAGGUGUACUGUGAGGUAUGCUGGAGGUAUCAGAAGUGCGAAUGCUGACAUAAGUAACGAUAAAGCGGGUGAAAAGCCCGCUCGCCGGAAGACCAAGGGUUCCUGUCCAACGUUAAUCGGGGCAGGGUGAGUCGACCCCUAAGGCGAGGCCGAAAGGCGUAGUCGAUGGGAAACAGGUUAAUAUUCCUGUACUUGGUGUUACUGCGAAGGGGGGACGGAGAAGGCUAUGUUGGCCGGGCGACGGUUGUCCCGGUUUAAGCGUGUAGGCUGGUUUUCCAGGCAAAUCCGGAAAAUCAAGGCUGAGGCGUGAUGACGAGGCACUACGGUGCUGAAGCAACAAAUGCCCUGCUUCCAGGAAAAGCCUCUAAGCAUCAGGUAACAUCAAAUCGUACCCCAAACCGACACAGGUGGUCAGGUAGAGAAUACCAAGGCGCUUGAGAGAACUCGGGUGAAGGAACUAGGCAAAAUGGUGCCGUAACUUCGGGAGAAGGCACGCUGAUAUGUAGGUGAAGUCCCUUGCGGAUGGAGCUGAAAUCAGUCGAAGAUACCAGCUGGCUGCAACUGUUUAUUAAAAACACAGCACUGUGCAAACACGAAAGUGGACGUAUACGGUGUGACGCCUGCCCGGUGCCGGAAGGUUAAUUGAUGGGGUUAGCGGUAACGCGAAGCUCUUGAUCGAAGCCCCGGUAAACGGCGGCCGUAACUAUAACGGUCCUAAGGUAGCGAAAUUCCUUGUCGGGUAAGUUCCGACCUGCACGAAUGGCGUAAUGAUGGCCAGGCUGUCUCCACCCGAGACUCAGUGAAAUUGAACUCGCUGUGAAGAUGCAGUGUACCCGCGGCAAGACGGAAAGACCCCGUGAACCUUUACUAUAGCUUGACACUGAACAUUGAGCCUUGAUGUGUAGGAUAGGUGGGAGGCUUUGAAGUGUGGACGCCAGUCUGCAUGGAGCCGGCCUUGAAAUACCACCCUUUAAUGUUUGAUGUUCUAACGUUGGCCCCUGAUCGGGGUUGCGGACAGUGUCUGGUGGGUAGUUUGACUGGGGCGGUCUCCUCCUAAAGAGUAACGGAGGAGCACGAAGGUUGGCUAAUCCUGGUCGGACAUCAGGAGGUUAGUGCAAUGGCAUAAGCCAGCUUGACUGCGAGCGUGACGGCGCGAGCAGGUGCGAAAGCAGGUCAUAGUGAUCCGGUGGUUCUGAAUGGAAGGGCCAUCGCUCAACGGAUAAAAGGUACUCCGGGGAUAACAGGCUGAUACCGCCCAAGAGUUCAUAUCGACGGCGGUGUUUGGCACCUCGAUGUCGGCUCAUCACAUCCUGGGGCUGAAGUAGGUCCCAAGGGUAUGGCUGUUCGCCAUUUAAAGUGGUACGCGAGCUGGGUUUAGAACGUCGUGAGACAGUUCGGUCCCUAUCUGCCGUGGGCGCUGGAGAACUGAGGGGGGCUGCUCCUAGUACGAGAGGACCGGAGUGGACGCAUCACUGGUGUUCGGGUUGUCAUGCCAAUGGCACUGCCCGGUAGCUAAAUGCGGAAGAGAUAAGUGCUGAAAGCAUCUAAGCACGAAACUUGCCCCGAGAUGAGUUCUCCCUGACUCUUUAAGGGUCCUGAAGGAACGUUGAAGACGACGACGUUGAUAGGCCGGGUGUGUAAGCGCAGCGAUGCGUUGAGCUAACCGGUACUAAUGAACCGUGAGGCUUAACCUU
rnacentral:rRNA from 1 species